GUGAAGAUAGGUUCCUAAGCCCGGAGGACACAAGCCAGAUGGGAAGGUGGUGCUACGAGCCUGGCCUCGCUCCUUCAGGACACAGAGGCUGCGACCCAGGAGCCCCUGGCAGAGUUGAGAAAACCAGCAUUGGGGCAGGGGCCUUGAAGAUCAUCUGGUUCCCGUCUCCAAGCCUAUAGCAGCACUGUUCCUGAGGAGAAACUAAGAGCAACACAAACAUCCAGUAACAGGAGAAUUGAGAAAUCAACCACAGCUCCCACAGCAGCAGGGGGGGAAGAACACGCAGGAGCUAUAAUUAGUUGGGAAGAGGAAAGAGGAGCGGAGCGUGUGAAUCAUCAGCCCCGGUGAUAGACGGUUAGAGGCUGAGCAGAAGUUUCGGGAGAAGCUGCUGGAGUGUGGAAGAAAAUUAUUAUGGAUGUUGAGAAUAAAUGCGAUCAUUGUGUGGUGCUGAGAGCAGAGAAUGAAAGGAAAACACCUCCUGAGCUCGCCCACUCUUGUGUCACCG